UACAGAGGGUCCAAGCGUUAUCCGGAUUUAUUGGGCGUAAAGCGUCUGUAGGUUGUUAACUAAGUCUGAAGUGAAAGAAUGGAGCUCAACUCCAUACACGCUUUGGAAACUGGUUGACUAGAGAAUGUUAGAGGUAAGUGGAAUUUCUAGUGUAGCGGUGAAAUGCGUAGAUAUUAGAAAGAACACCAGAGGCGAAGGCGACUUACUGGGACAUUUCUGACACUGAGAGACGAAAGCAUGGGGAGCGAAAGGG
rnacentral:rRNA from 1 species